rnacentral:tRNA from 1 species
GCCAGAGUGGUGUAGUGGUUUGCGCGUUAGACUAUGACUCUGGAAACCAGGGUUUGAAUCCUGGCUCGGCCA